ACACAUUUCAGUGCUUCCCUGA
rnacentral:miRNA from 1 species